UACGAGUGCCCCAAGCGUUAUCCGGAAUCAUUGGGCGUAAAGGGUGUGUAGGCGGCCGCUUUAGUCUUCUGUCAAAAUUCCUGGCUCAACCAGGAACCUGCAGAGGAAACGGAGUGGCUUGAGGAUGCGAGGGGUGAAUGGAACUCAUGGAGUAGGGGUGAAAUCCGUUGAUAUCAUGGGGAACACCGAAAGCGAAGGCAAUUCACUGGCGCAUUCCUGACGCUGAGACACGAAAGCGUGGGUAGCGAACGGG
rnacentral:misc_RNA from 1 species